rnacentral:rRNA from 1 species
GAUAAACGCUGGCGGCGUGCUUAACACAUGCAAGUCGAACGAAGUUUUUCCUUCUGGAGAAACUUAGUGGCGGACGGGUGAGUAACGCGCGGGUAACCUGCCCUGUACAGGGGGACAACAGCUGGAAACGGCUGCUAAUACCGCCUAAGCACUUAGCACUGCAUGGUGCAGAGGUAAAAGGAGCAAGCCGGUACAGGAGGGACCGGCGUCUGAUUAGCCAGUUGGCAGGGUAACGGCCUACCAAAGCGACGAUCAGUAGCCGAUCUGAGAGGAUGUACGGCCACAUUGGGACUGAGACACGGUCCAGACUCCUACGGGAGGCAGCAGUGGGGAAUAUUGCACAAUGGAGGAAACCAUGAUGCAGCGACGCCGGGUGAGUGAAGAAGUAUUUCAGUAUGUAAAGCUCUAUCAGCAGGGAAGAAAAUGACGGUACCUGACUAAGAAGCACCGGCUAAAUACGUG